GGAUUCCCCUAGUAACUGCGAGUGAAGCGGGAAAAGCUCAAAUUUAAAAUCUGGCGGUCUUUGGCCGUCCGAGUUGUAAUCUAGAGAAGUGUUAUCCGCGCUGGACCGUGUACAAGUCUCCUGGAAUGGAGCGUCAUAGAGGGUGAGAAUCCCGUCUUUGACACGGACUGCCAGGGCUUUGUGAUGCGCUCUCAAAGAGUCGAGUUGUUUGGGAAUGCAGCUCAAAAUGGGUGGUAAAUUCCAUCUAAAGCUAAAUAUUGGCGAGAGACCGAUAGCGAACAAGUACCGUGAGGGAAAGAUGAAAAGAACUUUGGAAAGAGAGUUAAACAGUACGUGAAAUUGCUGAAAGGGAAACGCUUGAAGUCAGUCGCGUCGUCUGGGAAUCAACCUUGCUUUUGCUGGGCGUACUUUCCAGAUGACGGGCCAGCAUCAAUUUUGACCGUUGGAUAAAGGUUGGAGGAAUGUGGCAUCUUCGGAUGUGUUAUAGCCUCCAGCUGCAUACAACGGUUGGGAUUGAGGAACUCAGCACGCCGCAAGGCCGGGUACUUGUACCACGUUCGUGCUUAGGAUGCUGGCAUAAUGGCUUUAAUCGACCCGUCUUGAAACACGGACCAAGGAGUCUAACAUGCCUGCGAGUAUUUGGGUGGAAAACCCGAGUGCGUAAUGAAAGUGAAAGUUGAGAUCCCUGUCAUGGGGAGCAUCGACGCCCGGACCAGACCUUUUGUGACGGAUCUGCGGUAGAGCAUGUAUGUUGGGACCCGAAAGAUGGUGAACUAUGCCUGAAUAGGGUGAAGCCAGAUGAAACUCUGGUGGAGGCUCGUAGCGAUUCUGACGUGCAGAUC
rnacentral:rRNA from 1 species